rnacentral:lncRNA from 1 species
CCAUAAUGAGCUGGAUAUCUUAUCUCUCCUCAACUCCAAUUAUUAUUAUUAAAUUUGGUCUUUUCAUCAAGUGCUGCAUUUCUUGGAUGUUUUGAAUUUUCUUUGACAGUUGUGUCAACAUCUUCUAAAGUAUUUUCUACAUCUGAGAUCCUUCUACCUCUUAUAUUCUACUGGUGAUGCUUAUAUCUGUAAUUCCUGACAUCUUUCAUGGGUUUUCCAUUUCACAGAGUUGCCUCUAUUUGUGUUUUCUUUUUUUUUUUAUUUCCACUUUUAGGUCUUGGAGAGCUUCGUUCAGUUCCUUUGCCUGUUUACUGUGUUAUGCUAUAUUUCUUUAAUGGAUUUAUUUGUGACCUCUCUACAGGCUUCUAUCUGUUUACCUAUAUUUUUUCUGUAUUUCUUCCAGUGCUUUAUUUCUGUCUUUCUUAAAGGACUCUAUUAUCUACAUGAGGUAGGAUUUUACAUCAGUUUCCUGAUUUUCAGGUGUGUUGGUACAUUGGCACAUUGCUGUUUGGAAGAACUGGGUUUUGAUGUUGCCAAAGUAUAAUGGAUUCUGUUGCUUAUGGUCUUGUGCUUGCCUCUCACCACCUGGUUAUGCCUGGUUAUAGGUGAUCUGCAGCCUACCUUCUGUGUCUCUUAGUUGUUGUAGAUUACCUUUGAGGCCUGUGGCCCUUGCUGUUGCAGAUAUCCUAUGAGUUUUUCAGACUGCAUGUUCUUCAGAGGGGCAUGCACACCAGUGACCUAUUGCCCUGACCACAGUAGCUCUUCUGGGAAGAUUCAGACUCUGAGGACUUCAUGAGGCAGAGAAAUACUUUAUCUGUUUCCCUGGCUGAUUCACAUAUCCUGGAAGUUCUUCAGACUGUUGGGUCCUCAGAUGAGCUAUUCAGCUGUUGCCCUGUGUGCAACUAUUCUCUUGGGAAAACUUCAGACUAUGAGGUCUGUUGCCUUGUGUUUAACUGUUCUCUUGGGAGACCUUCAGACUAUGAGGUCUAUCACCCUGUGUGCAGGAGAACUCCAGUGAUUCUUUCAGACUGUUAGGUCAGUUUUCUUGUUUGAAAAGGAACUCCUUGGAGGCCUUUAAACUGUGGUGUCUUCAAAGGAGCAGGUAAGAUGGUGACUUGUACCAGAAGAAGUCACAGGAGUUAUAAUUAGAAAGUCUCAGACAGAAAUGUGUGCUUUAUUAGAGAC